AAGUCGUAACAAGGUUUCCGUAGGUGAACCUGCGGAAGGAUCAUUACAUUCAGUAGCCUAGCUACUUGUUUACACCCUUGUUUUUUUGCGCACUUCAUUGUAUCCCUCGGCGGGCUUGCUCGCCGGUUGGACAACAUUUAUAACCUUUUUUAAUCUUCCAUCAGCGUCUGAAUUAUAUUUAAUAAUUACAACUUUCAACAACGGAUCUCUUGGUUCUG
rnacentral:misc_RNA from 1 species